GUCUUUUUAGUAUGAAUUAGUACAAGUGACUUCCAAUCACUCAGUCUUGGUCAAACUCCAAGGAAAGAUA
rnacentral:tRNA from 1 species